rnacentral:rRNA from 1 species
AGUUUGAUCCUGGCUACAGGACGAACGCUAGCGGCAGGCCUAAUACAUGCCAAGGUCGUACGGUAAGACACCCUUCGGGGGUGUUGAGAGUGGCGGACGGGUGCGUAACGCGUAUGCAACCAACCCCCGACGGGCGGGACAGCCGGUGGAAAACGCCGGAUAAUACGCCAUGCGGCUGUCCAGGGGCAUCCCUGGGCAGUCAAAGCCUUGGCGGUCGGGACGGGCAUGCGUGCCAUUAGAUGGUCGGCGGGGUGACGGCCCACCGAGUCGACGAUGGCUAGGGGAUCUGAGAGGAAGGUCCCCCACACUGGAACUGAGACACGGUCCAGACUCCUACGGGAGGCAGCAGUGAGGAAUAUUGGUCAAUGGGGCGCAAGCCUGAACCAGCCAUGCCGCGUGAAGGAAUGAGGCCCUAUGGGUCGUAAACUUCUUUUGUGGUGGAGCAAUAAGGCGUACGUGUACGCCGAUGAGAGUACAUCACGAAUAAGCAUCGGCUAACUCCGUGCC